rnacentral:rRNA from 1 species
GCGUGUGUGAAGAAGGCCUGCGGGUUGUAAAGCACUUUCAGCAGCCAAGAAAAGCUUGAGGAUAAUACCCUCGGGUCUUGACAUUAACUGCAGAAGAAGCACCGGCUAACUCUGUGCCAGCAGCCGCGGUAAUACAGAGGGUGCAAGCGUUAAUCGGAAUUACUGGGCGUAAAGCGCGCGUAGGCGGUUUGUUUAGUCGGAUGUGAAAGCCCCGGGCUCAACCUGGGAAUUGCAUUCGAUACUGGCAGGCUGGAGUAUGGUAGAGGGAAGUGGAAUUCCGGGUGUAGCGGUGAAAUGCGU